UGUUAAUGCAGAUCCAGGCUUUUUUUUGUACAUGAAUAGAUUCUCCUUUGUAUGCUACAGGGACCUGGCAUCGUGAAGAUUACCUGCUGACGGUAACGCUGCAGGGGUGGGAGAAGAGGAUGAACCAGUUGAACCCGCCCUCAAGCGUGGUGUGCACCCUGUCGGCAGAGUUUGGCAACCAGCCGUGCCAAGCCGGCUGCAUCAGGUUUAAGUGGAUACUGAAAACCUUGUUGUGCUGCAGUCUACUGAAUAUUCUGGUAGUGUCUGAAGUUGACGUGGUUUUAUCCUUCCUCAGCGGGUUUUUCUCCGUUUCAGUUUCAGGUGACAUCUACAUUCCUCUUACAAAGAUCAGGGAAAAUAUUCUCCUGUUUGCCAGCACUUAGCGUAGAAUUAUUCAUCGGAAUUACUUCAACGACCUAUUAUACUAGGUAUCUUAUGCAUUUAAUUCUUGCCCUUUCUAUUUUUGGCCACGGAUCUCAUAGGAAUCAUGUUCGCUGAUGCUGGCCAUUUUCAGGCUGCAGAGAUGAGUUUGUACAAUAUGAGACACUCGUGGCGAAAUGUGGCAACCUUGUGCAAACCUCUUAGCACUAAAUAUGGCCAAGAUGCAUCAUCAUUUAGGCUUAAUUUCAUAUUUAUUGUCA